rnacentral:rRNA from 1 species
AGUGAACGCUGGCGGCAUGCCUAACACAUGCAAGUCGAACGGUAACGGGCCCGCAAGGGUGCCGACGAGUGGCGGACGGGUGAGGAACACAUCGGAAUUUGCCCAGUCGUGGGGGAUAACGUAGGGAAACUUACGCUAAUACCGCAUACGACCGGAAGGUGAAAGCGGGGGAUCGCAAGACCUCGCGCGAUUGGAUGAGCCGAUGUCGGAUUAGCUAGUUGGUAGGGUAAAGGCCUACCAAGGCGACGAUCCGUAGCUGGUCUGAGAGGA